rnacentral:rRNA from 1 species
CCUACGGGAGGCAGCAGUGAGGAAUAUUGGUCAAUGGGCGGAAGCCUGAACCAGCCAAGUAGCGUGCAGGAUGACGGCCCUACGGGUUGUAAACUGCUUUUAUACGGGAAUAACGCGCCUUACGUGUAGGGCUUUGCAUGUACCGUAUGAAUAAGGACCGGCUAAUUCCGUGCCAGCAGCCGCGGUAAUACGGAGGGUCCGGGCGUUAUCCGGCUUUAUUGGGUUUAAAGGGCGCGUAGGCCGCAUGUCAAGCGUGCUGUGAAAUGUCCGGGCUCAACCCGGGCCUUGCAGCGCGAACUGGCGUGCUUGAGUCCGCGGAAAGCAGGCGGAAUUCGUCGUGGAGCGGUGAAAGGCUUAGAUAUGACGAAGAACCCCGAUUGCGAAGGCAGCUUGCUGCAGCGGAACUGACGCUGAUGCUCGAAAGCGCGGGUAUCGAACAGGAUUAGAUACCCCAGUAGUC